rnacentral:rRNA from 1 species
UACGUAGGGGGCUAGCGUUGUCCGGAUUUAUUGGGCGUAAAGAGCUCGUAGGUGGUUCGGUUAGUCGGAUGUGAAAUCUCCAGGCUCAACCUGGAGGGGUCAUUCGAUACUGCCGUGACUAGAGUUCGGUAGAGGAGUGUGGAAUUCCUGGUGGAGCGGUGAAAUGCGCAGAGAUCAGGAGGAACACCCGUAGCGAAGGCGGCACUCUGGGCCGAUACUGACGCUGAGGAGCGAAAGCGUGGGGAGCGAACAGG